GAAAAAACACACGCUUUCUCUGUAAAACUCCAUUGAAGAACUAAACCCAAGCACCUCGGCUUCUCCCCAGCAUAAAAGCUAGAGCUACGUUUUUUUGUCUUCUGGGUUGUUGUUUUCUUUGCAUAAUGUUGUGGUGAAAGUGCUUGCUUCUGCACAAAAAUGGCUUUUCAGGAUCAUGUUUCACAUGAAAUGGCUUUUCAAUCACCACUCUCUGCCUCUGCCUCUUCCUCCGCUUCUGCUGGUCCGGCGUGGCUUAGCAACGCUGUGCUCCGUCUCAACAACGACGGUUUAGGUCGGAGCCGAAGCGAGAAAGGCGGCCAUAAUAAUAAUAACAACGGUGGUGAGGAUGAGUUGAUAGAUGGCAGCGGCGCUGGUGGGGAUAAUUGGGAGAGGGCGAAGUGCAAAGCGGAGAUAUUGGGUCAUCCGCUUUACGAGCAGUUGCUAGCGGCUCAUGUUGCUUGUUUGAGGAUAGCGACACCGGUGGACCAGCUGGCGAGGAUCGACACGCAGCUCGCUCAGUCGCAGGAAGUGGUGGCUAAGUACUCCGUGCUUGGGAAUGGUCAAGUGGUGGACGAGAAAGAGCUUGACCAGUUUAUGACACAUUAUGUUCUAUUACUCUGUUCCUUUAAAGACCAAUUGCAACAACAUGUUCGAGUUCAUGCUAUGGAGGCUGUAAUGGCUUGUUGGGAGCUUGAGCAAUCGCUGCAAAGCUUGACAGGUGCAUCACUGGGUGAAGGCACGGGUGCAACAAUGUCUGAUGAUGAUGAUGANUAGUGACACCAACUUGUAUGAUGGAGGUCUGGAUGGGGCAGAUUGCAUGGGUUUUGGUCCUCUUGUCCCCACUGAAAGUGAGAGGUCAUUGAUGGAGCAUGUAAGGAAAGAAUUAAAACAUGAAUUGAAACAGGGUUACAAAGGGAAGAUUGUGGACAUUAGAGAGGAAAUUCUACGUAAGAGAAGGGCAGGAAAAUUGCCGGGAGAUACUACCUCCCUAUUAAAAGCUUGGUGGCAAUCUCAUUCUAAGUGGCCGUAUCCAACUGAGGA
rnacentral:misc_RNA from 1 species